rnacentral:rRNA from 1 species
AGGACGAACGCUGGCGGCGUGCUUAACACAUGCAAGUCGAGCGGUAAGGCCCUUUGGGGUACACGAGCGGCGAACGGGUGAGUAACACGUGGGUGACCUGCCCCCUACUCUGGGAUAAGCCUGGGAAACUGGGUCUAAUACCGGAUAUGACUACAUGUCGCAUGGUGUGUGGUGGAAAGUUUUUUUCGGUGGGGGAUGGGCCCGCGGCCUAUCAGCUUGUUGGUGGGGUGAUGGCCUACCAAGGCGACGACGGGUAGCCGGCCUGAGAGGGCGACCGGCCACGACUGGGACUGAGACACGGCCCAGACUCCUACGGGAGGCAGCAGUGGGGAAUAUUGCGCAAUGGGCGGAAGCCUGACGCAGCGACGCCGCGUGAGGGAUGACGGCCUUCGGGUUGUAAACCUCUUUUGUCAGGGAAGAUUAUGACGGUACCUGGCGAAUAAGCCACGGCUAACUACGUGCCAGCAGCCGC